UAGAAGAAAAUACUUAAUAGGAGCUGGCUU
rnacentral:piRNA from 1 species